AGUCAAGAAUAUUAGUCAAUGCUCUAAAGAGUGAACUAGCUAACUGAAAUCAAAAAAUAAUUGAUAACAUAAGGGAAAAUAAUGAUAUUACCUUAUUAAUAGUGUCGUCCAAAACUGGUGCCAGAAGACUCGGUAAGGCCUGAGACAUAAACGUUAAUCGUCUUAAUCAGGCGUAAAGGGUUUGUAGGCGGCUUUUAAAUUUACUAAUUAAGAAAUUAAAUUAAAAAAGUAAAAAAUAAAAGCUAGAAUCAAAUAGAGGAUAUAUUAAAGAAUGCUUAAAGUAGGUCUGAUAUCCCCAGAUAAUAAGUAGAAUAUUAAAGGCGAAAGCUUUUUUCCAUUAAUGAUUGACGCUCAGAAACGAAGGUGAGGAUAGGAAAUAGGAUUUGAUACCCAAAAUACCCCUCUCUGUCAACGAUGAAUGGUAGUUAUUAGUAAUAAUUAUUAAUGACAAUGUUAACACGAUAACCAUUCCGCCUUGUGAGUACAAUUGCAAAGUUGAAAACAAAAAAAUUAGUCGGUUUCGGAGCAAACGAAGUGAAGCAUGUUAUUUAAUUCGAUAAU
rnacentral:rRNA from 1 species